GACAGUGGAGCGCACGCGCAGCCACCACAAUCACCUUCCGGGUCCAAGUGCGGCGUUCGCGUCUCCACGCUCUGCGCGUGCCUGCGUGGGGGGCUUAGGCGGCCACAGAGAGCCCUCAGAAAGUUACUCCUGAAUAUUUUUAUCUCCUGGCAUCCUGUUCCAAUGAGUUUGUGAAAGCUGGUAAGUAAAUAUAUAGAUAUUUAUAAGUCAUAUUAAAAAUUAUGUAUUUUAGAUAUAUUAUAUAUUA
rnacentral:lncRNA from 1 species